CAAGGCAAAUUAGUGAUAGUACAUUUUUUAAAACUUUGUAUUUUCCUUGUGCCUCAACAUCCCCACAAACAGGCCGUGAACACUCUGCCCUGGCAACCAGAUGCACCAGUAUGAUAAGGCUGGUCCCUGCCACAAGUUCCCCUUCAUAACCUUCCCUGGCAGUGCCCUAGUGAAAUUUAACGAAAUCACCUCAUGCCUUUUGUUUGUGUAUCCUGACCCCCAAUACAAGCAUUUGCCUACAGGUCCUCACUCUAUCAGUUAUACCUAUUUGGCUGAACCCAUUCUUUGGGCUUCUCCCAUAUGGUUCCCUGCAUGGUGUACCUUGCCUCCCUCUCUAGGACCUUUGAGUAUAAUAAAUCCUUUAAUUUCAUUUACCUCUCCAAGUAUAAUUCCCACAGCUAUGUUGGAGUGAUCCUUGAGGACCCCACAGGGAGACUUACUCCCUCCCCCAUUUACCACACAGAGAGUUAUAGAUGAUAAGCUGAUUAUUGGUGGUUGUUGCCAUCAGCAGUCAAAGAAAAGAGAAUGCCCAGGGUUUUUUUGUUUGUUUGUUUGUUUCAGAGGAUAGAGAAGAAAGGCAUUUUGAGUUUCAUGGGACAAGAGUCAUUUGAAAUGACUCUAUAAAUAGUGUGUCUUACCAUAUGUGAUAUAUUCAGUGAUUAAGAAAAACUAAACCUAAAUCUGAUCAAGACUCUAGCUCCAACUGCCAGUUUGCAGGACAUACAAAGAACUAGGCACAUAUUCUAAAUGAUGUGAUGGGGAUACAACCAGCAAAAUCCAGAAUGUGGAAGAUUCUACAGGACAUACAACCCAGUUUCUUUAGCAAUUAAAUUAGAAGGGGAAAAAAAGGAAAGGGGAUGGGGGAAAUCCUAUAAAUUAAAAGAGAUUUAAGAGUUAUGUCGGCCAGGCGUGGUGGCUCACACCUGUAAUCCUAGCAUUUUGGGAGGCCAAAGUGGGCAGAUCACUUGAGGUCAGGAGUUCGAACCUAGCUUGGCCAUCAUGGUGAAACCCUGUCUCUACUAAAAAUACAAAAAAUUAGCUGGGCUUGGUGGUGCACACCUGUAAUCCCAGCUACUUGGGAGGCUGAGGCAGGAAAAUCGCUUGAACCCGGGAGGCAGAGGUUGCAGUGAACCAAGAUCAUGCCACCACACUCCAGCCUGGGUGACACAGCGAGACUCCAUCUCAAAAAGAAAAAAAGAGAGAGAGAUGUCAACUAAAUAUAAUGUAUGAACCUUGUAUGAAUCUUCAUUCAAACAAUUCAACUGUAAAAUAAAUUUGGAACAAUGGAAAAUUUUAA
rnacentral:lncRNA from 10 species